rnacentral:rRNA from 1 species
CCUACGGGAGGCUGCAGUGGGGAAUUUUGCGCAAUGCUCGUAAGAGUGACGCAGCGACGCCGCGUGAAUGACGAAGGCCUUCGGGUCGUAAAGUUCUUUCGACAGGGAAGAAAAUGCCUAUAAGUAACUGUGUAUGUAUUGACGGUACCUGUAUAAGCAGCCCCGGCUAACUCCGUGCCAGCAGCCGCGGUAAUACGGAGGGGGCGAGCGUUGUUCGGAGGGACUGGGCGUAAAGAGCACGUAGGCGGUGUUGUAAGUCAUUAGUCAAAGACUAGAGCUCAACUUUAGUAAGGCUAGUGAUACUAUAAUACUAGAGUAUCAGAGAGGAUUGCAGAAUUCCUGGUGUAGCGGCGAAAUGCGUAGAUAUCAGGAGGAAUACCGUUAGCGAAGGUGGCAAUCUGGCUGGAAACUGACGCUGAGGUGCGAAAGCGUGGGUAGCAAACAGGAUUAGAUACCCCUGUAGUC